CGACCACUGGCGCGGCUAGCGCCCCGACCACUCCCGCUGCGCCCACCACGAAAAGGCCACCCGUACUACAGCAACUUGCCCAGAGUGUUAUCGAUAUACCCUUGGGGGUGGCGAAAGCGUGUAAAGACGGAGCAGAAGCUUUUGAAUCAUUCUUGGACAUCUUUGGAUAAAUCAAGAUUCUAAUCACUAAACAAAAAAAAUGGUUGUCUGUAAAUUCGGUUUACGGGCGAUAAUUUUGCGUGAUAACGUCAUAAGAAAACAUUGAUGAAAAGGCCGUAAUGUUACCAUGGAGAUCUGUCCACAACGUUACCAUGGAGAUCUGUCCACAACGUUACCAUGGAGAUCUGUCCACAACUUUACCAUGGAGAUCUGUCCACAACUUUACCAUGGAGAUCUGUCCACAACGUUACCAUGGAGAUUUGUCCACAACGUGACACUUUUUCGUGCAUUCUACCGGUGUUCAUCGAUUUAUUUAUAAUAAGACGUUAUCACGUCAAUACAUAACUGUUACAUGUUUGCGUUUUAUUUUAUUAUGUCUUUAUUAAUAAUAUGGUGUACCGCCUUUGCACUUGUUUUAAGCAAAUACAU